rnacentral:misc_RNA from 1 species
GAUGAAGAACGCAGCGAAAUGCGAUACGUAAUGUGAAUUGCAGAUCUCUCAGUGAACCAUCGAAUUUUUGAACGCACAUAGCGCCCGCCGGUCAUUCCGGCGGGCAUGCCUGUCCGAGCGUCGAUGACGCCGCUCGAGCCCCCGUGCUCGGUGUUGGGGCGCUAGGUCUCCCAGAGGCCUAGGCCCCCAAGUAGCAGUGCGCGGUCCGGCUGCGGGCCCCGGGUACAGUAACUUCACCGUUGAGAUGCCCUGGGAGCCGCUGGCUGGGGCAGCCGUAAAACCCCCGACAUAGGCCUCUCUGCCCGCCCCCGGCGGGGGGGGAGACCGCCUAAUGUUGACCUCGGAUCAGGUAGGACUACCCGCUGAACUUAAGCAUAUCAAUAAGCGGAGGA